rfam:Gossypium raimondii chromosome 2, whole genome shotgun sequence.
AAACCAUGCAUCGGGCAUUUUCUAAUUAAUUCCUUGAAUCGCUCUCAAGCUUCAUACAAUGUCUUAUCCUCAGAUUGCCAAAAAGAUUUAAUAUUGUUCCUCAAUUU